UACGGAGGGAGCUAGCGUUGUUCGGAAUUACUGGGCGUAAAGCGCGCGUAGGCGGCUUUGUAAGUUAGAGGUGAAAGCCCGGGGCUCAACUCCGGAAUUGCCUUUAAGACUGCAUCGCUUGAAUCCGGGAGAGGUGAGUGGAAUUCCGAGUGUAGAGGUGAAAUUCGUAGAUAUUCGGAAGAACACCAGUGGCGAAGGCGGCUCACUGGACCGGUAUUGACGCUGAGGUGCGAAAGCGUGGGGAGCGAACAGG
rnacentral:rRNA from 1 species